UCUCCUCAUAACAUCUGCUGCUUGCGGUACAGCAUUUUUAACCCCAUUAGAACUUAAGAACUGCUCAGCCUGAUACCAUCCCCUCCAAUCAUUUCUACUGGGAAAGAUAGGCGAUUAUUGCAUACAAAAACAAUGAGAAACUACAUCUGAAUGGUUUAUAUGAUUCCGGCAGAAUGAGAUACCCAGCUGAACGCCAAGAAAGAGGUUAUUCCCACAACUACAUAUUUAUCAAGAGGUACUAUAUACCGUAAGAAACCACUGAUGCCAGGAUGCCACCUUAAAUCUGCCAACUACAGCUCCAAGAUCUCCCAGCUGAUCGCAAGUUGCAGAGGCUGCAAGAAAAAAUGUGACUGGUGGCUACUGAGUGACGAAUGUCUCAUCGGGGAAACAAUUGAAUGGCUCCAAAGGACGGCCAGCAUGGGGCGGUGCCACAAUUGAAACAUCCCUAAGGUUUCACCUAAUACACUGUAUACUAGCGAUGGACAACAGGCGGACCUGGGGCCGCAUUCGGCCCCCAGCCCUUACAUGCUGUGUUUUCUUAUUCGUUCACUGUAACUUAUAAUUCUUGCUAUUAUUACAGAUCGAUAUCUCUUUCA